rnacentral:rRNA from 1 species
UACAGAGGUCUCAAGCGUUGUUCGGAUUCAUUGGGCGUAAAGGGUGUGUAGGUGGCGCGCUAAAUCGGGUGUGAAAUUUCGGAGCUUAACUCCGAAACUGCAUUCGAUACUGCGGUGCUUGAGGACUGGAGAGGAGACUGGAAUUCAUGGUGUGGCAGUGAAAUGACGUAGAGAUCAUGAGGAAGACCAGUGGCGAAGGCGGGUCUCUGGACAGUUCCUGACACUGAGAACACGGAAGGCCAGGGGAGCAAACGGG